AAAUAAAGCAUGACCAUUUAUGAUUUAAGUGGGGUCCUUAAUAUGGGCUACAAAGUUAUUAAUAGAUGUAAUUGUUAUGCCUCUUUUUUCUUUUUUCUUUCUAUAAUGUGUGUGGCUCAGAUCUGGCUGUGGUUUAACAUCUAAGAACUGAGAUGGUUAUAUUCAUAUUUAUAUAUGAUUUAUAUCAACAUUUAAUAUUGUGUCAAUUAUAAAAAUCAUUGAAAUAAAUUACUUUGCUUUUCAUGGACCCUUUAAUUGAAAUAAAAAUAUCUGAUCUGAUCUUA
rnacentral:lncRNA from 1 species